UGCGGGGUGGAGCAGCCCGGUAGCUCGUCAGGCUCAUAACCUGGAGGUCAGUGGUUCAAAUCCACUCCCCGCAA
rnacentral:tRNA from 3 species